rnacentral:rRNA from 1 species
GGGCGAAACCUGACCAGCGACGCCGCGUGAGGGAAGAAGGUCUUCGGAUCGUAAACCUCUGUCAGGAGGGAAGAAGUUAUAUGCUUUUAACAGGGGCAUAUAUUGACGGUACCUCCAGAGGAAGCGCCGGCCAACUCCGUGCCAGCAGCCGCGGUAAUA